rnacentral:rRNA from 1 species
UACGGGGGGAGCAAGCGUUGUUCGGAUUUACUGGGCGUAAAGAGCUCGUAGGCGGUCUGUCGCGUCGGAUGUGAAAAUCCAGGGCUCAACCCUGGACCUGCAUUCGAUACGGGCAGACUAGAGUUCGGCAGGGGAGACUGGAAUUCCUGGUGUAGCGGUGAAAUGCGCAGAUAUCAGGAGGAACACCGGUGGCGAAGGCGGGUCUCUGGGCCGAUACUGACGCUGAGGAGCGAAAGCGUGGGGAGCGAACAGG